rnacentral:rRNA from 1 species
UACAGAGGGUGCAAGCGUUGCUCGGAUUUACUGGGCGUAAAGCGUACGCAGACGGUAAGGAAGGUCGAAUGUGAAAACCCGGCCGUCACCACGGGAAAUGCAUCCGAAACCCCCUUGCUAGAGUAUGAGAGAGGGAAGCGGAAUUCCUGGUGUAGAGGUGAAAUUCGUAGAUAUCAGGAGGAACAUCGGCGGCGAAGGCGGCUUCCUGGCUCAUUACUGACGUUCAGGUACGAAAGCGUGGGUAGCAAACAGG